GAGCUGUGAAGAAAUUUGCAUUAAGCAGUGAUUAGGGUCUCUGCAAUCGUCUGAUUUAGAUGAUUAAAACUAGCACAUCUGAGCUC